ACAGUUAGAUGGGAAUUGGACCUCGCGCGCGAUUAGCCAAUAUUUUAGCGCCAAAGCAGCCCAACGCGCCAAAUUUUUCCCUAAAAAUGACAAGGAGAUCGCCGCUCCACGCUCCUUAGUUCCCCACGCACGAAAUACCUAAUCUCCGUUGUUCUCCACGCGUGUCGACGGCUCAAUCCCCGCGCCUUCCACCACCGCCCCACACCGCCCGGGUCUACCGUCGAUCUCUCCAAUCACCGCCCCGCUCCGCCCUGCCUCUGCAGCACCGCCCUGCGCCCCCCGUCCUGUGCAGCACCGCCCCGCGCCGCCCGUCCUGUGCAGCACCGCCCCGCGCCGCCCGUCCUGUGCAGCACCGCCCGACGCCGCUCAACUCCGUCCUCCCUCUCCAUCGCCGGCUCGACAACCUCAUGCUCUCUCUCCGGCUGGCCGCCUCUGUUCAACCUCCCUGGCCCGGCCUCCCCAUCUCCACCGUCCAGCUGACGAAGACAAAGGCAUCCCUCUCUCUCUUUGGCUGAUCAAGGGCACCGAUGCGGCUGAGGUAGCACAGAGAACCACUACUGGUACUACUGCAGAAUAUUUGGUACUUAGCGAUCAGCUAGUGGUAUUUGAUUUUACCUAGCAGAAUGUUUGCCAGUGAAAUUGAUGAGUUUAAUAACAAAUAUCGGCUCCAAGAUUUAUUGAAGUUGUUAUCUUAGUGUAUUCCUACACUACUAGAAAAAAGCCUAUAGCUAAUAUGCACAUUAAUGGCGCACCAUGCAUGUGGUGCGUCACUGCUAUAUAGCAAUGACGCACCACUUAAUGAUGCGCCAUUAGUGUCUAUAUUACUAAUUUCCUUUUUUUAUAGGUAAGUAAGGAGAAAGCUUUCUUUAUGUUCUAGAUCUACUUUUUUGACCUCCAACACGUGUACACAUUUUUUA